ensembl:snRNA U6 U6 spliceosomal RNA
GAGCUCAGUGCAGCAGCACAUAGAGUAAAUCGGAAUGGUACAGAGGUCAGCCCAGCCCCUGUGCAAGGACGGCAUGCAAAUUCAUGAAGUGUUGCAUCGUUUU